rnacentral:rRNA from 1 species
UACGUAGGGUGCAAGCGUUGUCCGGAAUUUAUUGGGCGUAAAGCGCGCGCAGGUGGUUUCUUAAGUCUGAUGUGAAGGCCCACGGCUCAACCGUGGAGGGUCAUUGGAAACUGGGGAACUUGAGUGCAGGAGAGAAGAGUGGAAUUCCACGUGUAGCGGUGAAAUGCGUAGAGAUGUGGAGGAACACCAGUGGCGAAGGCGGAUCUCUGGGCCAUUACUGACGCUGAGGAGCGAAAGCGUGGGGAGCGAACAGG